rnacentral:rRNA from 1 species
GACGAACGCUGGCGGCGUGCUUAACACAUGCAAGUCGAACGGAAAGGCCUGCUUUCCCUUGUGGAUUGCGGGUACUCGAGUGGCGAACGGGUGAGUAACACGUGAGUGAUCUGCCCCCAACUUGGGUAUAAGCCUGGGAAACUAGGUCUAAUUCCCGAUAGGACUGCAGGGUGGUGCCUGUGGUGGAAAACGAUUUUCUAGUGGUUGGGGAUGAGCUCGCGGCCUAUCAGCUUGUUGGUGGGGUAAUGGCCUACCAAGGCGGCGACGGGUAGCCGGCCUGAGAGGGUGGACGGCCGAAUUGGGACGGAGAUACGGCCCAGACUCCUACGGGAAGAAGCAGUGGGGAAUAUUGCACAAUGGGCGGAAGCCUGAUGCAGCGACGCCGCGUGGGGGAUGACGGCCUUCGGGUGGUAACCUCCUUUCGACCGCGAGGAAGCCACCUGGUUGGAAGGGUGGUGACGGUAGUGGUAGAAGAAGCACCGGCUAACUACGUG